rnacentral:rRNA from 1 species
GAUGAACGCUGGCGGCGUGCUUAACACAUGCAAGUCGAACGAGAAGUGGAGACGGAAACCUUCGGGCGGAAGACUUUACUUCGAGUGGCGGACGGGUGAGUAACGCGUGGGUAACCUGCCUCAUACAGGGGGAUAACAGUUGGAAACGACUGUUAAUACCGCAUAAGACCACAGCACCGCAUGGUGCGGGGGUAAAAACUCCGGUGGUAUGAGAUGGACCCGCGUUCGAUUAGCCAGUUGGCGGGGUAACGGCCCACCAAAGCGACGAUCGAUAGCCGAUCUGAGAGGAUGACCGGCCACAUUGGGACAGAGACACGGCCCAAACUCCUACGGGAGGCAGCAGUGGGGAAUAUUGCACAAUGGGGGAAACCCUGAUGCAGCGACGCCGCGUGAGUGAAGAAGUAUUUCGGUAUGUAAAGCUCUAUCAGCAGGGAAGAAAAUGACAGUACCUGAGUAAGAAGCCCCGGCUAACUACGUG